AGUUUCUAGUAUGUUUAGAUUGCAAAUCUAACGUUUGGCGUGUGCCAGCCGGAACUU
rnacentral:tRNA from 1 species